GUUUGCUUAAAAAUCGACAUUCGUGC
rnacentral:sRNA from 1 species